UACGUAGGGUGCAAGCGUUAAUCGGAAUUACUGGGCGUAAAGCGUGCGCAGGCGGUUAUGCAAGACAGAUGUGAAAUCCCCGGGCUUAACCUGGGAACCGCUUUUGUGACUGCAUAGCUGGAGUACGGCAGAGGGGGAUGGAAUUCCGCGUGUAGCAGUGAAAUGCGUAGAUAUGCGGAGGAACACCGAUGGCGAAGGCAGUCCCCUGGGCCUGUACUGACGCUCAUGCACGAAAGCGUGGGGAGCAAACAGG
rnacentral:rRNA from 1 species